GCGGCCCGUGAGCCAAUCAGGCGGCGGGAAGGCGGGCGAGGGCGGUGGUGGCUGGCAAGAUGGAGGAGUACGCGCGGGAGCCCUGUCCCUGGAGGAUAGUAGAUGACUGCGGAGGUGCUUUCACGAUGGGAGCGAUAGGAGGUGGCAUUUUCCAAGCUAUCAAGGGGUUCAGAAAUUCCCCAGUGGGUGUAAACCACCGGCUGCGGGGAAGUUUGACAGCUAUUAAAACGAGAGCUCCACAGCUGGGAGGUAGCUUUGCCGUCUGGGGAGGUCUCUUCUCCAUGAUCGACUGCAGUAUGGUCAGAAUGAGAGGGAAAGAAGAUCCGUGGAAUUCGAUCACGAGCGGAGCCCUGACCGGAGCCAUAUUGGCUGCCAGAAAUGGACCUGUUGCCAUGGUCGGAUCUGCCGCCAUGGGAGGGAUUCUCCUCGCAUUAAUUGAAGGAGCUGGUAUUCUCUUAACAAGAUUUGCCUCCACACAGUUUCCGAACGCAGAACGUCAGCAAGAGGAGUCGGGAAGCUGACUCCACAAUGAUUUGUUCCGUUUCACUGGCUUGCUUUAUUGUCGGGCAAGUUACGGCCCUCAGUUUUCAGAUGACCCCUCGCAGUUGCAGCCCUCUCCGUUUGGCGACUACAGACAAUACCAGUGAUGCUUCUCCUCGUUCUCCUGGUUCACGUUGUACCCGAGCUGAAAUUUCAAAUGCUGGAGGAGCCAGAGGCGGUAUGGUAUGUCUUUACAGCGGUGGUAGUCUCUUACACGAGCCAUGCCGAGGGGACCUUCAGCGCUUUUCAGUGUCAAGCCGCGCAGGAGAACUUUUAGAAGAUGACAAAUCUAUUUAUUCCCGAUAGAUUCCAUUGCUGUAAUGUUAACACAUGUCUGAUAGAAUACACGGAGAUUUGAGACAAGGACCAAAUGGAGUCUUGUCAUCCUUUGGACACGGACCGAAGUGAAAGUCUUUGGAGUCUUCUCUGGGAUGUGGCAGCGACAGCGAACGCAGCUGGAGUUUAGCCUCUUCCCCACCGGAUUUAGGUCGCCACACAUAUUUCAGCUUAAGGAAACUACUUAAUCCACACGCGGUUUUACAUUCCUAAAGUGAAUAUUAUUGGGAGAAUGUGCAAGCCAGUGAAAAUUACUUCCAGCAAUA